AUUGAACGCUGGCGGCAGGCCUAACACAUGCAAGUCGAACGAGUGGCGGACGGGUGAGUAAUGUCCGGGAAAAUGCCUGAUGGAGGGGGAUAACUACUGGAAACGGUAGCUAAUACCGCAUACCAUCAGAUGUGCCCAGGGGGGAUUAGCUAGUUGGUGGGGUAACUGCUCACCAGGGAGACGAUCCCCAGCUGGUCUGAGAGGAUGACCAGCAACACUGAAACUGAGACCGGGUCCAGAUUCCUACGGGAGGGAGAAGGGGGGAUAUUGCACACGGGGCGCAAGCCGGAUGCAGCCAUGCCGCGUGUAUGAAGAAGGCUUUCGGGUUGUAAAGUACUUUCAGCGGGGAGGCGUUACCCGCAGAAGAAGCACCGGCUAACUCCGUGCCAGCAGCCGCGGUAAUAC
rnacentral:rRNA from 1 species